CUGAACUCCAUAACCCCAACAUGGACAAUGCAGAAUGAUCUUAAAUGUUCACAGAACAUGUGUGUGUGUGUGCGUGCACCACUGUAUCCCAAAUGCCAGCUUUUUUACAAAAUUAAACCAAGGUGCCAUGAACCAAGAGGAGGCAGUAGAAAUGGAAUUUCUAUACAAACAGUUCCUUUGGUGGAGCCAAACAGUUCUUUUGGCUGCAUUGCUCCUUGGAUGUACAUGAUCGAAGCUUGAUUCCCUGGUCCUGCCAGUAAUUCUGUAAAUUGUGUAAUAAUCUGUAAUAGACGCCAUUCCGUAUAAGCU
ensembl:lncRNA